GAAAUGCGAUACUUGGUGUGAAUUGCAGAAUCCCGUGAACCAUCGAGUCUUUGAACGCAAGUUGCGCCCCAAGCCGUUAGGCCGAGGGCACGUCUGCCUGGGUGUCACACAUCGUCGCCCCCAAACAUCCACGCCUCCAGGGGCGUGGCGGGCGGAAACUGGCCUCCCGUGAGCCUACGCUCGCGGCUGGCCCAAAUUCAAGUGCCAAGGUGUCGAGCGCCUCGACCAGCGGUGGUUGGCAUGUUCCAAUGACCCUCUAUCCCGGUUGUGCGCGCCCGUCGCCUUGUUCGUGGUGCUUACCGACCCUCUUGCGCCGCACCGACGACGCUCGCUUCGCGACCCCAGGUCAGGCGGGACUACCCGCUGAGUUUAA
rnacentral:misc_RNA from 1 species